rnacentral:rRNA from 1 species
GGGUCAGUAGGUUGGUCGUGCCACCGGUACGUACUGGUCUCACUGAUUCCUCCUUCCUGAAGAACCGUAAUGCCAUUAAUUUGGUGUUGCGGGGAAACAGGACUGUUACUUUGUAAAAAUUAGAGUGUUUAAAGCAAGCUAACGCUUGAAUACAUUAGCAUGGAAUAACGAAAUAGGACGAUCGAUCCUAUUUUGUUGGUUUCUAGGAUUGACGUA